rnacentral:lncRNA from 1 species
GACGAUGUAACGGUAAUAGACAUAGACUCCAGGUGUUGUUACGGACAAGAGCUUCUAGCUCAACAUGAAUCGCAUCACGCCAACAAGAGUGUGCCAUAGCUGCAUGAAUACUAGUUGGUGUAUCAAGUACCUCACUCAUACAGCUUAAGUAGGCUUUUGGCUUGAAUAUGUCAGCUUUGCUGCGGGUAAUCAUUGGAUGGGAGUUUUGUGGUAUUGGCCAUGGAGGUAAGGGACUUGUGGAGACACUUGGUGAGGGUAG